GGAUUAGCAGGGAAUGAAGCCCCUGUUGAGCUUGACUCUAGUCUAGCAUGGUGAAGAGACAUGAGAACAGUGCAAUAAGUAGAAGACCUCUGAUGCUCUCUGGUUCCCUGGGAGAGGUCAGGGUGAGCUCCACCAGCCUCACAGACUACAGUGAAAUGCUACUUCUCAUCAUUUUCCACUGACCCAGGGAGACAGGGGUGGCUUGAGCCAUGAGUGGUUCUCACUUCUGGCACCAAGUGUCUGUCACACAUAUUGUAUGCUAUGGCCCAUUCUGGGAACGGUGCCAUGUUCAUCGUUUGACUGGGGAGUUACACUUGUCAAACAGUAAUACAGGUGACCUACAGCGAACUCACAGAUGACGGAAACUAUCCUUAAAGGUUGCUUUACCAUGAUUUUCAGUACAAAUACAAACCAUGAAAGCAGGGCAUUAAGAUCCUUCUGAAUUUUUGGUUUUUAAGUAGGAAUUUUCAGAAAAGUUACCACAGGAAUAACUGCCUUCUGGAAGAAAAGUGUUCAUAGUGACAUAGUUUUAUUGACCCUGCAAUGUCUGCUUUUCUUCUGAUUUUGAAGCAGAAUUCACCUAGGGUUGGAUUGUUGACCCAGUAAUAGGGAACGUGAGCUGGAUUAGAACAUCAUGAGACAGAUUCGAUUACCUACUGAUUACAUGCAUUUUGCCUUUGAAUCCUGCUCAGUAUGAGAGGAACAAUAUGUUCAGACAUUUGGUGUGUAUGCUCCACUGAGAAGACAAUGAGCAAGACUACCACUUGUAGAAUUAUGACUUAAGGCCCCUUAGUUGAAAUUCCACCCAUGCAGGGCUGUAAAAUGGAGCCAAAGACCCUCAGUUAGCCCUGGAUAGCCAGGUCUGGUCUAUACCUGCUGGAGGUGCCAUCGCAUUCCCACAAGUUGGUGGGUCCCUGUUGUGUUGGGGCACAGGUGUCCAGUCUGGAAAGACACUCAUCCUCUGAAACAUCGUGUGCUAGAAACGAGACAGACCUUUCAUCCAUCAUGCUAAUGUGUGUGUAGAAUCUGGAGCUAAACCAUUCCAAGGUGACCUGCUUCUGUGACAGGGAUUCAUAUAUAGCAGAACAGUUCACUUACUUUGUCUGUUGAAAGUCAUCCCUCAACACAAGGUUU
rnacentral:ncRNA from 1 species